UUGGAGGUAGUGACAAUAAAUCACAAUGCGGAACAAUGUUUUGCAAUUGGAUUGAGAACAACGUACAAACCUUAUCGAUAAACAAUUGGAGGGCAAGUCUGGUGCCAGCAGCCGCGGUAAUUCCAGCUCCAAUAGCGUAUAUUAACGUUGUUGCAGUUAAAAAGCUCGUAGUUGAAAUGAAGGGUAGUUGUGUAAUGAAUACAUUCGUGUAUUUUGUUAUUCUACUACCCUCCUUCUAAAUUCGAUAUAUGAGUAUUAAUUUACUUGUAUAUGGUUUUAGACCUUUACUGUGAGAAAAUUAGAGUGUUCAAAGCAGGCAUUUGCUUGAAUAUAUUAGCAUGGAAUAAUCAUGUAUGAUUUUCAUGAUGUAUUUGAUUGGUUUGGUUCAUGAGAAUAAGAUUAAAAGGGACAGUUGGGGGUAUUCAUAUUCAAUAGUCAGAGGUGAAAUUCUCGGAUUUAUGGAAGAUGAACAAGUGCGAAAGCAA
rnacentral:rRNA from 1 species